rnacentral:rRNA from 1 species
CCUACGGGAGGCUGCAGUGAGGAAUAUUGCACAAUGGAGGAAACUCUGAUGCAGCGACGCCGCGUGAGGGAAGACGGUCUUCGGAUUGUAAACCUCUGUCUUUGGGGAAGAAAAUGACGGUACCCAAAGAGGAAGCUCCGGCUAACUACGUGCCAGCAGCCGCGGUAAUACGUAGGGAGCGAGCGUUGUCCGGAAUUACUGGGCGUAAAGAGCGCGUAGGCGGGAUAGCAAGUCAGAUGUGAAAUCCUAUGGCUUAACCAUAGAACUGCAUUUGAAACUGUUAUUCUAGAGUAUGGGAGAGGUAGGUGGAAUUCCUAGUGUAGCGGUGAAAUGCGUAGAUAUUAGGAGGAACACCAGUGGCGAAGGCGGUCUGCUGGACAGCAACUGACGGUGAGGCGCGAAAGCGUGGGGAGCAAACAGGAUUAGAUACCCCUGUAGUC